CACCGCGGUUAUACGAGAGACCCAAAUUGACAGUACCCGGCAUAAAGUGUGGUUAAGAAAUAAACACAAUAAGGCCGAACUCUUUCAAGGCUGUUAUACGCAACCGAAAGAAAGAAGAUCAACAACGAAAGUGACCUUAGCCCAAUCUGAACCCACGAAAGCUAGGAAA
rnacentral:rRNA from 1 species